AAAGAACCUGGCCUCCCCAUUUUGUAGCUCAGGAUAUUACUGUAGCUUAAGGACGGAGAAAUGGGAGCGGGGGGUACGAAACCAGAAAAUUUGGCUCCCCUGAAACUAAGGGACAGUUUUGAGACUAAUACGUAUCCAGCCCUUUGGUGGCAUGCUAGGAGCUUGGAUUACGCUGAUGAAUCACACAGCUGUAGCCCCUGCCUCAGGCCAGAGCUAAGCCUUGGAAGAUACCUGAAAGAUAGCCAGAAAGACGGGAGUCGGAAAAGCCGUCCAGAUGGAGGGAACAGCGUACGCAGAGCCAGGAAGCGUGAAGCAGCACUUUGCGGGUGCGGGGGAGCUUUGCUGCAAGUCCAUUUGUUAACCUUGGAACGGGGUGAAGUGAACAUAACGCUGCAGUGGGCUUCUUUGUAACACAACAAAGACCCUGUACUUGACCCAGGAGCACUGAUGACUGCUUCAAAAACUGUGCUAAGCAUCUUCACAGACCUGUGUGCAGACAGGAGCAGAUCCAGAGCUGCCCGGAGGGGUAAUGUACUCCCAGGUUACCAGCUCAACAAAAGUGAGGAAAAGCGAGCUCCGACUGGAGACUGAUACUGAGAGUUGUGUCCUAAGUGAGCAACCCACUGACAUUCAGCCUCCAGUGACUGCGAUGAAACCCGGG
rnacentral:lncRNA from 1 species